CCAGGCAGGACAAACAGGAGCGCAUCAGCAGUCUGCGUGACGCCCCGACACAAUCGCACCUCUGUCCCGCCACCGGCUGCGGUGUCCUCACUUUCUUCUCGAGGAAUAAAAAGAAGAUUCCCCCACGCCAAAUAAAAGCCCACUUAGGGCGUUUCCAUCAUAUUAACAUGGCUUAGGGAACUUUCUUGUGUGAAAGAGGAGAGGAGAAACGGAACUUUCAGGGAUCCUUCUUUCAGCAGCGGAUCGGUCGCAGAGGGCAGCAGGCUUGGUUUCAAGGCAGGAGGGUCAGAGCUUCCUGUCUUUUCACCUCAUCUCCGCAUAUUCCGACGCGUGGAUGGUAUGGUGUAACUUUCCUGCACGGUGUAAGCGCAGAGGGCAUGCGAGAAUCUCCUCCGUCUCGGAUAGUGGAGUGGCUAUGAGGAAAGAGGUUCACCUGCUGGGUUAACAGAACAGGACCACACCGCACCAACAGAAUGCGGGAGCGGGGUCUUUGGAUUUGCGGAGUAGGUGUAUGGAGUCUUCUGCU